AAGCUUAAAUGCCUUUAGUGGUACAUUUAAAGCUGCUUCUUAAAUUCGAUGGUCUUGUGUUUAGUAAAAUAGCUAAGAGAUUGUUACUUUGGGUAUAAAUCCUUCUAGAUAGAAUAGCAAAUCUGAGAAACAGAAGUGCACUGCACAGAUUGUACUGAUCUGAGGAAGCAUUUCCAAUAGCAAAGUGCCUUUGGAACUAGUGUCCAGGGCAUACUGAACUCAGAUUCCAUUCCUAUCCUCUGCCAUUAUCACUCUAAAGAAGGGGAGAUAGAUGGCUUGGAUUUGGAACCAUAAGGUGGCCUUAGCUUUAACACUUUAGUUCCCAUAGAAAAAGAAUUUUAAGGCAGAAAAUAGUUGAUAAGCUUUCAAAUUCUUUCAUUAAGUGACUUAUGCUCCUGUGUAAUAUUUCAUGUUUAAUAGCUUAUUUCCAUUUUGGGAUAGAAAAUAUUUCUAUUCUGUGGUCCUUCAUGUCUAUU
rnacentral:lncRNA from 1 species